GAUGAACGCUGGCGGCGUGCCUAAUACAUGCAAGUCGAGCGAAUGAAGAGGAGCUUGCUCCUCUGAUUUAGCGGCGGACGGGUGAGUAACACGUGGGUAAUCUGCCUGUAAGACGGGGAUAACUCCGGGAAACCGGGGCUAAUACCGGAUAAUAAGAAGAAACGCAUGUUUCUUUUUUGAAAGUCGGUUUCGUCUGACACUUACAGAUGAGCCCGCGGCGCAUUAGCUAGUUGGUGAGGUAACGGCUCACCAAGGCCACGAUGCGUAGCCGACCUGAGAGGGUGAUCGGCCACACUGGGACUGAGAAACGGCCCAGACUCCUACGGGAGGCAGCAGUAGGGAAUCUUCGGCAAUGGGCGAAAGCCUGACCGAGCAACGCCGCGUGAGCGAUGAAGGCCUUCGGGUCGUAAAGCUCUGUUGUUAGAGAAGAACAAGUACGAGAGUAACUGCUCGUACCUUGACGGUACCUAACCAGAAAGCCACGGCUAACUACGUGCCAGCAGCCGCGGUAACAC
rnacentral:rRNA from 1 species